rnacentral:rRNA from 1 species
GGCAGCUAUACAUGCAGUCGAGCGGACAGAUGGGAGCUUGCUCCCUGAUGUUAGCGGCGGACGGGUGAGUAACACGUGGGUAACCUGCCUGUAAGACUGGGAUAACUCCGGGAAACCGGGGCUAAUACCGGAUGGUUGUUUGAACCGCAUGGUUCAGACAUAAAAGGUGGCUUCGGCUACCACUUACAGAUGGACCCGCGGCGCAUUAGCUAGUUGGUGAGGUAACGGCUCACCAAGGCGACGAUGCGUAGCCGACCUGAGAGGGUGAUCGGCCACACUGGGACUGAAACACGGCCCAGACUCCUACGGGAGGCAGCAGUAGGGAA